rnacentral:rRNA from 1 species
UACAGAGGUCCCAAGCGUUGUUCGGAUUCACUGGGCGUAAAGGGUGCGUAGGCGGUCGGGUAAGUCUGAUGUGAAAUCUCACAGCUUAACUGUGAAACUGCAUUGGAUACUAUCCGGCUAGAGGAAUGGAGGGGAGACUGGAAUACUUGGUGUAGCAGUGAAAUGCGUAGAUAUCAAGUGGAACACAAGUGGCGAAGGCGAGUCUCUGGACAUUUCCUGACGCUGAGGCACGAAAGCCAGGGGAGCAAACGGG